ensembl:lncRNA
AUGUCGCUCCUCCACUGCGAUCUAUACGUCCCGACAGUCCGCCGCCCUGCAGGGAGGCGCAGGGUCAAAGUGCAGGAGCAGCAGCCUGAGUAUCUUACUUGGUUCGUAGUAAUCGUAGAUGACAACAGUUGCUUCCUGGACUUUGGCGACUUUGUGUUCCAUGACCAGAGGGACCAGCAGACACCCCUCCUCUGUGGUCACCUGGAAACACAGACACAGCCUUGGAUGAAUCUGUUUCCAGUGAAGCCAGUCAAGGUUUUUCCUCUCGGUGUGUUUACAUACCAACGGCCGUCACCACAGCUCUCUCGCUGCCCUCCACAACAUCUGGCGGGAAGGUGA